rnacentral:rRNA from 1 species
GAUGAACGCUGGCGGCGUGCCUAAUACAUGCAAGUCGAGCGAACGGACGAGAAGCUUGCUUCUCUGAUGUUAGCGGCGGACGGGUGAGUAACACGUGGAUAACCUACCUAUAAGACUGGGAUAACUUCGGGAAACCGGAGCUAAUACCGGAUAAUAUUUUGAACCGCAUGGUUCAAAAGUGAAAGACGGUCUUGCUGUCACUUAUAGAUGGAUCCGCGCUGCAUUAGCUAGUUGGUAAGGUAACGGCUUACCAAGGCAACGAUGCAUAGCCGACCUGAGAGGGUGAUCGGCCACACUGGAACUGAGACACGGUCCAGACUCCUACGGGAGGCAGCAGUAGGGAAUCUUCCGCAAUGGGCGAAAGCCUGACGGAGCAACGCCGCGUGAGUGAUGAAGGUCUUCGGAUCGUAAAACUCUGUUAUUAGGGAAGAACAUAUGUGUAAGUAACUGUGCACAUCUUGACGGUACCAAAUCAGAAAGCCACGGCUAACUACGUGCCAGCAGCCGCGGUAAUACGUAGGUGGCAAGCGUUAUCCGGAAUUAUUGGGCGUAAAGCGCGCGUAGGCGGUUUUUUAAGUCUGAUGUGAAAGCCCACGGCUCAACCGUGGAGGGUCAUUGGAAACUGGAAAACUUGAGUGCAGAAGAGGAAAGUGGAAUUCCAUGUGUAGCGGUGAAAUGCGCAGAGAUAUGGAGGAACACCAGUGGCGAAGGCGACUUUCUGGUCUGUAACUGACGCUGAUGUGCGAAAGCGUGGGGAUCAAACAGGAUUAGAUACCCUGGUAGUCCACGCCGUAAACGAUGAGUGCUAAGUGUUAGGGGGUUUCCGCCCCUUAGUGCUGCAGCUAACGCAUUAAGCACUCCGCCUGGGGAGUACGACCGCAAAGUCGAAACUCAAAGGAAUUGACGGGGACCCGCACAAGCGGUGGAGCAUGUGGUUUAAUUCGAAGCAACGCGAAGAACCUUACCAAAUCUUGACAUCCUUUGACAACUCUAGAGAUAGAGCCUUCCCCUUCGGGGGACAAAGUGACAGGUGGUGCAUGGUUGUCGUCAGCUCGUGUCGUGAGAUGUUGGGUUAAGUCCCGCAACGAGCGCAACCCUUAAGCUUAGUUGCCAUCAUUAAGUUGGGCACUCUAAGUUGACUGCCGGUGACAAACCGGAGGAAGGUGGGGAUGACGUCAAAUCAUCAUGCCCCUUAUGAUUUGGGCUACACACGUGCUACAAUGGACAAUACAAAGGGCAGCGAAACCGCGAGGUCAAGCAAAUCCCAUAAAGUUGUUCUCAGUUCGGAUUGUAGUCUGCAACUCGACUACAUGAAGCUGGAAUCGCUAGUAAUCGUAGAUCAGCAUGCUACGGUGAAUACGUUCCCGGGUCU